CAACAGAAAAAAACAUCUGCUAAAAAAAAAUAAGAACAAAGAGGAUAAACUGUGAGAUAUAUACAAUGAGAUAUUGAUAGAAGGUGUAUGAACCAAACCAAGUUUAUGGAAUCAAACAUCAAUACAAUCCCUAUUAAGGAAAGAGGUCUCUUAUUUGUGAAAGAAGCGAGAUUGGAAAUAUGUGUGCAAGACAUUUCAAUGAGCUUCUAUAAAAAAUUCCUUCAAAAUAUUUAUUCAUUAAUCUAUUAUAGAUAACUUUGAGAAAAUAUUAAAAAGCGCUGGAAAAACCUCUGUGAUUGCUACAUGAAAGCGAGAAAGAAAAUGACUGCAUACACACCAAGUGAUUCAGCAAUUUCAGAUAAAAAAAGAUGGUUUUCGUUUUUUUGAUCAAAUGCAAUUUUUAAAUGAUUCCAUAAUUUCAGGGGCUUCUAUAAGUAAUGUUUCGAAAGAACCUGAAUUGAUGAAUGAUAACCUAGACACCGAUCGCUUCACAAUGCAAGAAUCAAGAGAUGAUGAGAGCAGUUUUGUAGUUAGCCAAAAUGUUCGAACAAUACAAAUGAAUGUAUUUUUGGAAUAGGAAGAAGUAUUUCGUACAAAUAGUAUCUCUUUGCAUGAAAAACCAAUUCGGUGAAAUUUGUGCGUCACCAUCGACAAUGUAAUGAAUAACUAGAUGGAACAACAUCAUGUCGAUUUUGUUUGUCGUUACUUUAUUCUGAUAGAAAAUAAAAUUAAAUCGCAAUAUACAUGGUAGCAAUUUUGUUAUUGGAUGAAGAGGAUGAACAAGCCUUUGAACCAUGAGAAUUACACGAAGGCUGAUAUUCAUAAUCAGAUCUUAUAUUUAAGAUCGUCUUUAAAUACAGUCUUA